rnacentral:rRNA from 1 species
GACGAACGCUGGCGGCGUGCCUAAUACAUGCAAGUAGAACGCUGAAGAGAGGAGCUUGCUCUUCUUGGAUGAGUUGCGAACGGGUGAGUAACGCGUAGGUAACCUGCCUUGUAGCGGGGGAUAACUAUUGGAAACGAUAGCUAAUACCGCAUAACAAUGGAUGACACAUGUCAUUUAUUUGAAAGGGGCAAUUGCUCCACUACAAGAUGGACCUGCGUUGUAUUAGCUAGUAGGUGAGGUAACGGCUCACCUAGGCGACGACACAUAGCCGACCUGAGAGGGUGAUAGGCCACACUGGGACUGAGACACGGCCCAGACUCCUACGGGAGGCAGCAGUAGGGAAUCUUCGGCAAUGGGGGCAAACCUGACCGAGCAACGCCGCGUGAGUGAAGAAGGUUUUCGGAUCGUAAAGCUCUGUUGUAAGUCAAGAACGAGUGUGAGAGUGGAAAGUUCACACUGUGACGGUAGCUUACCAGAAAGGGACGGCUAACUACGUG